ensembl:lncRNA
AAAAUGCUUUUCUUUGUUCUCUAAGGAAGGGUGCUGGGGAUCUUGUGCUUGCUAAUGAAGUACAACAGGUAGAAAACUAUUUUAUUAGUAAAACAGUGCAGCAGACAAUCUCCACCGCCUUUACUUUGCAAUUAGAUAACGAUUCACUGUUUGCUGAGCCCCCAGAAGAACCUGUGUUAGUAAUUUAAACAUUUGAAUCCAAUUAACCGCCAUCUUGUUUUAUACAAGACAUCAUGCAAUCAUGAGAGAAGUAUAUAUACCUUUAAAAAAAAAAAAAAAGUUUCCCUUUUUUUUUAGAGACACCAAUUUGCAGGCACAUGGAAUUAUUGCAAAUUUGGCACUGGAACUUGACCACAAGAAGGUCAGCAGGUUCAAUAUAUCAAGGUCAGCUGUAUGGGAUGGAGCUGUUAGAGGAUUUCGACGCAGCACAUACUCUGACAACUACGACAUGUUCAUCAAGUUUAAUGAUGAUGCUGGCAGCUUUGAAGAAGGUUUGGAUACAGGUGGCCCGGUGAAUUCCUCACACUUCUUAUGGGCAGUCUGCGAAAUCGCCCCAUCUUUGAUGGACCUCCAGAGAGCCGUUAUCUUGUAUAUAAUUCAAGAGGUGGAUGUUUUCUCCGUAAUUAUUACAAUGGAAAUUUUAAUAAAAAUUGGCGUAUUUUUUUCAUUAGCAUAUUUAAUAGCAAUUAACCAUGAUAAUUAUGUGCCCUGUAUAACAGCUGCCAGGCAAGAUGAGUACUUUUUAGCAGGAAAGAUGAUCGCUGUAUCCAUUGUGCAUGGGGGACCAGCACCACAUUUCCUCUCCAAGAACCUGGUCAACCACAUCACAGGGAAUCAGAGUUUCAGCGCCACUGUAGAAGAUGUGCAAGAUGAGGAGAUCACAAAAAUUUUACAUCAGGUCCUGAAAGCUGAAUCAGAGGAGUCUUUGCAUAAUCUUAUUUUGCAAAACAGCACAAUCUU